rnacentral:lncRNA from 1 species
UUCAUACUCUUCAUUUCAAUCUGAUGUGUGAAGAUUUUUCCUUGUGCUUAUAAGAACUUUCUUCUUGUCCUUUUUGGUGAAUGUCACCUUCUUUUUUAACUUUUCAAGAUUAGGACAUUCUGACCUAAAAUAUCAUGGCUCUUUGCACUUAAAAUAAACCAUUGGUCUGUCUUUCCUUUUGUCCUUAGGUUCAUUCCUCGAUGUUGAUCCAACAUGUCUUCCUCUAAAGGAAGUAUUCUUUUUCUUUUGCCAGUGGAUCUUCCCGACGAUUAAUGAGUGCUCAUCCUCUUCUUUCUCUUCAUUUGAGUCUUCUUCCUUAUUGGACUCUUAAGGGCUAUUGAACCGUACAAGCUUUUGUAGGUAUCCUUCUAUGCUUUUAUUUUUUUUCAGCAUCCUAUGCUGCUAAACACUAGUAAAAAAAGUGGAUAUUGACGCACCGUAUAUGCUUCAGUUAUGUGAAACCCGAAGCGUAAAAGACUAUAUACCUCGGUUACACCUUGACCUGAGGCAGAAUGGUGAUAUUGCCUCGGUUAGAAGAAACCCGAGACCUAUACCUCUGCUUUUUGUCUGACAACAUUUUGUAAAGGUCGUAUUGCCUCGGGUUGCCAGGCAACCGCUGCCUAUACACUUGUGCCACCUGACAUUUCAGCACUUUAUACCUCGGGUUUGGCUCUUAACUGGUGUCAUAUUGUGCUCUUCACUCUGCUUCUCAAAUCUCAACCUACACAUGCUUCAUUUGCACAGCCCAACAACUUAUUCUUUCUUCCCCCAUUCUUCUCCUCUACGGUUUCAUCCUAUUCUUCCUUACCAGUGCUCUUCCAUUCUUCCUUGCCGGUGGUCUCCCAUUCUUCCUCUCCCUGUGCUGCUAGUGGUCUCGCCUGCCUCUUGCUCAUUGUCGUUCUCGGCACCAUGCCUCCUGCCUGUGCCA